UGUCCUGAAAUUCUUCUUUACUUAGUCUCCUUAUGGGAACCAGAGAUUGGACUGGGUUAGUGGUCCCUAUUUUCUUCUGGCCUUUGUUGUGAGGAAUACUUCCUUUUUUGUAUUGAUGUUGAUGCAACCAUCUUGGUCCUUUUUUUGGCAUGAGCUGCCUGGACUUCUAAGAGAAACUCCAUUCUUUGAUGACUGAUGGAAAAGCCUCAUCACCCCCCACUGCUUAAGAACCCCUUAUCUUAAUCACCAGCCAUUAAUCAGUGAUCACUGUUAUCAAAGCUCCAAGGUGCGCAUGAUGCAACUUCCUGGAUGGUGUGUAGGCUGUUUGUCAACAUGUGAAUCCCACGUGCGUUUCGGGGUAGGUAUGUUUACUGUCGAUUUUCUUUCUUAAAAGCCGCAUAAGGCAUAUUUUUU